CGCCCACAGCUCUUCCCCCUUCCCCAGGGCCUGGCAGAGCUCGCUGGCCAGAGGCAGGAGAAAAGGAAAUGUUGCGCCUGAGAGAACAAAUUUUCGAUCUCUGUGGCGUUAAACACUUUAAAUUAUUGCGGUUAAACGUCUCCAGCCCGUGCCCGUGGCCACCGCGCUGGCUCUUUCUCCCCAUUGAAACCUGAGGGCUCGGUUGCCGCCCACCCUCCUGCCCCUCCCAGGGAGCGAGCCUGACAGACUCUAAAUUUAUUUUAAUUGUGUCAUCAAGGGACAGCUAAUGGUUCCUGGCUGCUGGCAACAUAUAGCUGCUUCUGGAAAACAAAACCAAGUGUUAUUAACAGAGCAGACUGGAAAUUCCCUGUUUCUGGAGUAUCCAAGAAUCUGCAGCCUUACAGAGAGAAUCAAGCUGGUAUAAAUUGUCUGCAACUCCAGCCUCAGGGAAUGGGGCAGAGGGAGAUGAGCAGGAAGAGUGAGAGGCUGAAGCACCUGGUGACAUCAGAAUUGCAUCAAACAAUGGAGCAGCCAAGGGCUUUGCAAUUUUCUUCCCAUUUUCCUGGCUAAUCUGUUCAGGCUGGAGCCAAACCAGCUGAGCUGAGCAAGGGGUUGGCAUCACAUCAGUCCUUUAAUAACCAUCUCUCCCCUGAAUUUGUUUUUGCACACCAUAGAUCUGACAUUAUCAACUAUAAAAUUUGAUCUUCUGCAACAAAUACAACCUUACUGUGAUUCCUUUGAAGGCACUGAAAAUGACCUGGGGUACUUAAACAAGUAGAAACUAUGUAAAAAAAAAACCAACCUGGUAAAUAUCUAGCUUGUCCUUACUCUGAUGAAAAAGUUUCUGACAUUACUAUCACAGCUUCCUAAUAUUUUACUAGCACUUAAAUGAUAACUAAGACAAAUGUAGUAUUUCCUUUUCUUUUUUUAUGAGUAAUUUCUUAAUCAAAGGCACCAAGAAUCCCAAAUCUCAGCAGUAAAAGUUCAAUUCCCCAACACUUUAAUGGUCAAUUAACUGAUGACCUUGAGUCUCUAAAGGAUUUACAGAGCAAUUUAGUAAGUGCAUAGUUACACCAAGCUCUGAAAAUACACUUGCAACCAAUUUUCUGUAUGUGCAGUACACUGCUGGGUCACUCCUUUGUGCAUGUCUUUGACCCUUAUCAGUAAUAAUGUAUUCCUGCAGAGAAAACUGGAAUUAUUCCACAGUACAUUAUUACUGCUCAGAAAACUCUUUUAACGUUCAUGCUGAUAAAGAUAUUAAUGUAGAAGAAUUAGACAUAUCCUUUUGUCUGAACAGCACUUGAAAAUCUGUGUUGUGACUACAGUUGACUGAAGCUCAAUUACUUUAAUAAAUGUAUUCCAAAUUUCACCUUGAUUACAUUUGCAUUUUAAUGAAGAAUUCUCGCCUACUUGUCAAAUAGGCAGCCCAGCUAAAUUUAUUAAGUUAUUGUAUAAACAGGGUAUUGUGAUGCCCAAAUUUAAAUGGAGAAAUAUUUGAUGUCAUAUUCCAGCAAUAUGUGGUAAUUCUACAGCGUAGGAGAGUGCAUUGGUUAUCUCUGUAUUUUAAUUUUGAGUUUAUUUUACUGGGGGUUUUUAACAGCCCACGAACCUUUAGGAUCAUUCAUAAACACCCCCAAAAAUGAAAUUAUGAGUAGGUAUUUUGGUGUAUUUAAUCUAAAUGGUUAUUACAGCUCUUUUGUAUGUUGCAUUGCUGUUAAAUGUUCUGGGUUUUAUUUCUUUUGCUAUAGUUGAGAAGGAAGGAGGGAGUAAACUGCUCCCUUGAGAACUGGGGAAUUUGGUGCCUGAAAUUACAGAAUCACAGAACGUGCUGAGUUGGAAGGGACCCACAGGGAUCCCAGAGUCCAACUCCUGGCCCUGCACAGGACCCUCAGCGACAGACCAUCAUCAUAUCCUGCGCCCAAGAGUGAUGAGCACCUUGUGGCCUUUGGGUGCUUUAUCUCCUCUGCUAAGAAAAGAGAGUUAUUACUUGUCAGUAAAACAAAUGAGGCCCAGCUUUUGAGCCUGGAUUGUGUUUAAAAGAAUCAAUACAGUCUGAUGACACCUGAUUCAAAAGUCAGCAGCACAUUCACUGGCAGGGAUGUGUGGGAUAAGAUGCUCCUUGGACUUGGAUCUGCUGCUACAUCCUUACUACCAUUUUACUCCGAGGCUGCAGAGUACCUGUGUGCCAAAUUCCUUUCACUGCCAUCAUCUUUGCUUGUUCUACUUCAGUUAUUUUUUGACCUGUGUUGUUAUCCCACAGGCAGCACAGCAUGGUCAUUUCUUUAUUUCCUUCUCCAGCAGUAAUACCCUGCCUGUUCCCUCCAGCUCACUGACAGGCUGCACUGGCACCUUCCCUUUUCCUCUGCAGUUCAGCCUUCCAAGAGCAUGUGGAAUUCAGCAGUGAGCAGGCAGCUGCAGGGCAGUGACAGCUGAGCUCACACAGUGAGGCCAGUACUGAUAGAAAUGAGAAUUAGACAGGGUGGUUUUGAACCAAGGACUGGACAGAGUGAUGCCAAGCUCAAGACAUCCAAUAAUUCUCCUGUGUGGUGCUGAAAGAGAUAAGGGGAAAUUCUCCCAGUUCAUAUGGGGCAUUGUUGUCCUUUGUUAUAAUGCAGAGAGAGACACUAAUGUUGAACUCUUGAAUAUAGAAGAAUGUGAAAUCACCUUUAAAAAUUAAGUUGGUGGGCAGCAGAGAAAUCAAUCAAUUUAAUAGUGUGUGAUCACAACCCUGCCCAAGUUGUGAUGAUUUUUGGCAGGCAUCACCUCAGUUCUGUGAAGCAAGGUGGAGAAUACUUUCAUAUACUUGGUCAGGAAUCACUGAGGAGGAAGAGCAGACAGAAAGCAGCCCAGCAGGCUUGGGGCACCUGAGAAAGAGCUGAGCUCCAGCCACCCAAAUAUCCUCUGAUGUGGAGGAGUCAAAGGAACAAACAAGCAUCCACAGGAGGAGGUCAGGAAAGAAGAAAAAAAAGAUGACCUUACAGUGUUUUUACUGUUUAUGCCAGUGUCUGGAUUCCAAACCACCCUGGAGCAAAAAGGUAAGUUUGAAGGAAGAUUCAUGUCCUGGCCUCCAUGGUAGGACAUGAGUGACACCCACAGUGACACAGACCCAUCACAGGUACACCCAGAGCUGCUGUUCAGCUGCUGAAAUUGUAUUCUGAGAAUUUCAGGACUUGGUGGGGAUACAGUCUGUCUUUACUGACAGCAACUGUCAAAUUUAAACAUUAAAUGACUGAAUCCUGAAGAGCACCUUGUGUGUGCACAUGUGCAGAAGCACAAUCAUAUGUGAUUUGUCUUGCUGCCAUUCACUCAGCAAGUUCUAAACUGCAUAAAAUGUUUUAUGUCGUGUAGCUUUCAGGAUUGGGCUCAUUUUAAGGAAAGGCUGUGAAAAUUAAAAUUUGAUCAGCCAAGGUAGAAGUGGGCCUAG